rnacentral:rRNA from 1 species
GAGUUUGAUCCUGGCUCAGGACGAACGCUGGCGGCGUGCCUAAUACAUGCAAGUCGAACGAACUCUGGUAUUGAUUGGUGCUUGCAUCAUGAUUUACAUUUGAGUGAGUGGCGAACUGGUGAGUAACACGUGGGAAACCUGCCCAGAAGCGGGGGAUAACACCUGGAAACAGAUGCUAAUACCGCAUAACAACUUGGACCGCAUGGUCCGAGCUUGAAAGAUGGCUUCGGCUAUCCCUUUUGGAUGGUCCCGCGGCGUAUUAGCUAGAUGGUGGGGUAACGGCUCACCAUGGCAAUGAUACGUAGCCGACCUGAGAGGGUAAUCGGCCACAUUGGGACUGAGACACGGCCCAAACUCCUACGGGAGGCAGCAGUAGGGAAUCUUCCACAAUGGACGAAAGUCUGAUGGAGCAACGCCGCGUGAGUGAAGAAGGGUUUCGGCUCGUAAAACUCUGUUGUUAAAGAAGAACAUAUCUGAGAGUAACUGUUCAGGUAUUGACGGUAUUUAACCAGAAAGCCACGGCUAACUACGUGCCAGCAGCCGCGGUAAUACGUAGGUGGCAAGCGUUGUCCGGAUUUAUUGGGCGUAAAGCGAGCGCAGGCGGUUUUUUAAGUCUGAUGUGAAAGCCUUCGGCUCAACCGAAGAAGUGCAUCGGAAACUGGGAAACUUGAGUGCAGAAGAGGACAGUGGAACUCCAUGUGUAGCGGUGAAAUGCGUAGAUAUAUGGAAGGACACCAGUGGCGGAGGCGGCUGUCUGGUCUGUAACUGACGCUGAGGCUCGAAAGUAUGGGUAGCAAACAGGAUUAGAUACCCUGGUAGUCCAUACCGUAAACGAUGAAUGCUAAGUGUUGGAGGGUUUCCGCCCUUCAGUGCUGCAGCUAACGCAUUAAGCAUUCCGCCUGGGGAGUACGGCCGCAAGGCUGAAACUCAAAGGAAUUGACGGGGGCCCGCACAAGCGGUGGAGCAUGUGGUUUAAUUCGAAGCUACGCGAAGAACCUUACCAGGUCUUGACAUACUAUGCAAAUCUAAGAGAUUAGACGUUCCCUUCGGGGACAUGGAUACAGGUGGUGCAUGGUUGUCGUCAGCUCGUGUCGUGAGAUGUUGGGUUAAGUCCCGCAACGAGCGCAACCCUUAUUAUCAGUUGCCAGCAUUAAGUUGGGCACUCUGGUGAGACUGCCGGUGACAAACCGGAGGAAGGUGGGGAUGACGUCAAAUCAUCAUGCCCCUUAUGACCUGGGCUACACACGUGCUACAAUGGAUGGUACAACGAGUUGCGAACUCGCGAGAGUAAGCUAAUCUCUUAAAGCCAUUCUCAGUUCGGAUUGUAGGCUGCAACUCGCCUACAUGAAGUCGGAAUCGCUAGUAAUCGCGGAUCAGCAUGCCGCGGUGAAUACGUUCCCGGGCCUUGUACACACCGCCCGUCACACCAUGAGAGUUUGUAACACCCAAAGUCGGUGGGGUAACCUUUUAGGAACCAGCCGCCUAAGGUGGGACAGAUGAUUAGGGUGAAGUCGUAACAAGGUUACGAGAGU